UUUUCAGAGUCCUUCUGAUCACAGUUUACUAGGGAGUGACCCUGAAUAUCAACAUGGCUAACUCUGACUUGGGUUGUAGACUGAAGUCUUCACUCUUCCACCUGGACCUAAGAGGCCAAGAUCCCCAGAGAGAAGACACAGUCAACCAGCACUUCAAAGGACAGUGUCCAUUGGAGACAUGAUACUUGGAGCUGCUGCAGGCAUCUUGUGAUCGUGAGCGAAGCUGCCACCAGCUCAUUGAGGAUGCCAGAGCAGAAAGCUGGAAAUACUGGGUUAUUGGUGACAUCACUGAAGCAACCCUGGAACCGCCCGCCCUACACUUAGAAUUCUUGUUGGAUAAUAAAUACCCUCAUUGUUUAA